CCUGUUGAGCUUGACUCUAGUCCGACUUUGUGAAAUGACUUAGGAGGUGUAGCAUAAGUGGGAGCUUCGGCGCUCGUGAAAUACCACUACUCUUAAUGUCGUUUUACUUAUUCCGUUAAGUUGAGACUCAUGCUCUGCAUGUGUUUUGGUUUUAAGGUGGCUUUUGCCGCUGAUCUACGCGGAAGACACAGUCAGGUUGGGGGUUGUAGGGUAAACGAGGACUGAGGGUGCUCGAGCGUCAGGUUUCGAAAGG
rnacentral:ncRNA from 1 species